rnacentral:rRNA from 1 species
GACGAACGCUGGCGGCGUGCCUAAUACAUGCAAGUUGAGCGCUGAAGGUUGGUACUUGUACCGACUGGAUGAGCAGCGAACGGGUGAGUAACGCGUGGUGAAUCUGCCUUUGAGCGGGGGACAACAUUUGGAAACGAAUGCUAAUACCGCAUAAAAACUUUAAACACAAGUUUUAAGUUUGAAAGAUGCAAUUGCAUCACUCAAAGAUGAUCCCGCGUUGUAUUAGCUAGUUGGUGAGGUAAAGGCUCACCAAGGCGAUGAUACAUAGCCGACCUGAGAGGGGGGUAGGCGACCUUGGGGCGGGGACAGGGCCCAAACUCCUACGGGAGGGAGCAGAAGGGAACCUGAGGCAAUGGACGAAAGUCUGACAGAGCAAAGCCGCGUGAGUGGAGAAGGUUUUCGGAUCGGAAAAAUCUGUUGGUAGAGAAGAACGUUGGUGAGAGUGGAAAGCUCAUCAAGUGACGGUAACUACACAGAAAGGGACGGCUAACUACGUG